ensembl:snRNA U7 U7 small nuclear RNA
AAGUGUUAGAGCCUUUUUAGAAUCUGUCUAGGUUUUCUGGUUUUCACCAAAAAAUCUCU